GCCGCGGUAAGACGUAGGGCGCGAGCGUUGUCCGGAUUUAUUGGGCGUAAAGAGCUCGUAGGCGGCUUGUUGCGUCGGCUGUGAAAACCCAUGGCUCAACCGUGGGCUUGCAGCCGAUACGGGCAGGCUAGAGUUCGGUAGGGGAGACUGGAAUUCCUGGUGUAGCGGUGAAAUGCGCAGAUAUCAGGAGGAACACCGGUGGCGAAGGCGGGUCUCUGGGCCGAUACUGACGCUGAGGAGCGAAAGCGUGGGGAGCGAACAGGAUUAGAUACCCUGGUAGUCCACGCUGUAAACGUUGGGCGCUAGGUGUGGGGGACCUCUCCGGUUCUCUGUGCCGCAGCUAACGCAUUAAGCGCCCCGCCUGGGGAGUACGGCCGCAAGGCUAAAACUCAAAGGAAUUGACGGGGGCCCGCACAAGCGGCGGAGCAUGCGGAUUAAUUCGAUGCAACGCAAAGAACCUUACCUGGGUUUGACAU
rnacentral:rRNA from 1 species